GACGAACGCUGGCGGCGUGCUUAACACAUGCAAGUCGAACGGGGUGCCUAUGAAAGAGAUUUCGGUCAAUGGAUUAGGUUACUUAGUGGCGGACGGGUGAGUAACGCGUGAGGAACCUGCCUUUCAGAGGGGGACAACAGCUGGAAACGGCUGCUAAUACCGCAUGACACAUAUUUAUCGCAUGGUAGAUAUGUCAAAGAUUUAUCGCUGAGAGAUGGCCUCGCGUCUGAUUAGCUAGUUGGUAGGGUAACGGCCUACCAAGGCGACGAUCAGUAGCCGGACUGAGAGGUUGGCCGGCCACAUUGGGACUGAGAUACGGCCCAG
rnacentral:rRNA from 1 species